AUUCCAUAUCUUCGGUAGAAAGAAGAGGAAGCUCGUUUGAUCUUUUCACAGCCCAAACAAUCAAGAUGUUUCGAGGCAAACAAGGUUUUCCUUCUCGAGUACGAUGGAGAAUGUCAC